CACAUGCAAGUCGAGCGGCAGGGGAAAUUAGCUUGCUACUUUGCCGGCGAGCGGCGGACGGGUGAGUAAUGUCUGGGAAUCUGCCUGAUGGAGGGGGAUAACUCCUGGAAACGGUAGCUAAUACCGCAUGACCUCGAAAGAGCAAAGUGGGGGACCUUCGGGCCUCACGCCAUCGGAUGACCCCAGAUGGGAUUAGCUAGUAGGUGGGGUAAUGGCUCACCUAGGCGACGAUCCCUAGCUGGUCUGAGAGGAUGACCAGCCACACUGGAACUGAGACACGGUCCAGACUCCUACGGGAGGCAGCAGUGGGGAAUAUUGCACAAUGGGCGCAAGCCUGAUGCAGCCAUGCCGCGUGUGUGAAGAAGGCCUUCGGGUUGUAAAGCACUUUCAGCGAGGAGGAAGGCAUUGUGGUUAAUAACCGCAGUGAUUGACGUUACU
rnacentral:rRNA from 1 species